GAUGAACGCUGGCGGCGUGCCUAAUACAUGCAAGUCGAGCGAACAGACGAGGAGCUUGCUCCUUUGACGUUAACGGCGGACGGGUGAGUAACACGUGGAUAACCUACCUAUAAGACUGGGAUAACUUCGGGAAACCGGAGCUAAUACCGGAUAACAUGUUGAACCGCAUGGUUCAACAGUGAAAGACGGUCUUGCUGUCACUUAUAGAUGGAUCCGCGCCGCAUUAGCUAGUUGGUAAGGUAACGGCUUACCAAGGCAACGAUGCGUAGCCGACCUGAGAGGGUGAUCGGCCACACUGGAACUGAGACACGGUCCAGACUCCUACGGGAGGCAGCAGUAGGGAAUCUUCCGCAAUGGGCGAAAGCCUGACGGAGCAACGCCGCGUGAGUGAAGAAGGUCUUCGGAUCGUAAAACUCUGUUAUUAGGGAAGAACAAAUGUGUAAGUAACUAUGCACGUCUUGACGGUACCUAAUCAGAAAGCCACGGCUAACUACGUG
rnacentral:rRNA from 1 species